GCUCUUAGCAGGAAGCUGCCUUAACACUUCAUGAUCGAGGACUUGGAGGGAAGCACUCAAAAGUUCUGCAGGUUUUUGUGUAGCAGUGAUGGGAUAGAGCCUCAAAGGAAAGAUCUCCAUGCACCUGGGAUGUGACCUGACAUCCUGAUCAGUUCUCCUGAUGUAGCCUCUCCUGAUGAGGAUGCUGGACCUUGAAACCUGGAGAGGCCCUUUCCAUGAGGGAGUCACACAAUCAGCUCCAGAGACAUCUCAGUGAUUUUUUGCUGCUUUGGCAGAUUGCUUUACCUGUGCCAAUAUGUAUCAGCUGAUAAGUCU